rnacentral:rRNA from 1 species
ACCGGCUAACUCCGUGCCAGCAGCCGACGGUAAUACGGGAGGGUGCGAGCGUUAAGUCGGUAAUUACGUGGGACGUAAAGCGCAUGCAGGCCGGCCUUAGGUUAAGUCAGAUGUAGAAACGGCCCCGGGGUACCUUUAACCCGUACGGUAAUUGCUAUUUAGAAACGUGGCAGGCUAGAGUCUUGUAGAGGGGGUAGAAUUUCAGGUGUAGCGGUGAAAUGCGUAGAGAUCUGAAGGAAUACCAGUGGCGAAGGCGGCCCCCUGGACAAAGACUGACGCUCAGAUGCGAAAGCGUGGGGAGCAAACAGGAUUAGAUACCCUAGUAG